GCCAGCAUGGCAUAGUGGUUUGAUUGCAGGACUAAGACUCUGGAGACCAGGGUUUGAUUCCCAGCUCUGCCA